UACGUGAGGCCCAAGCGUUAUUCGGAUUUACUGGGCUUAAAGAGUUCGUAGGCGGUCUGGCAAGUGAGGGGUGAAAGCCCUCGGCUCAACCGAGGAAUUGCGCUUCAAACUGCCAGGCUCGAGGGAGAUAGAGGUGAGCGGAACUGAUGGUGGAGCGGUGAAAUGCGUUGAUAUCAUCAGGAACACCAGAGGCGAAGGCGGCUCACUGGGUCUUUUCUGACGCUGAGGAACGAAAGCUAGGGGAGCAAACGGG
rnacentral:rRNA from 1 species